rnacentral:rRNA from 1 species
CCCUUAGAUGUUCUGGGCCGCACGCGCGCUACACUGACGAAGUCAGCGAGCAUGUCCUACGCCGACAGGUGCGGGGAAUCUUGUCAAACUUCGUCGUGAUGGGGAUUGAUUAUUGAAAUUCUUGAUCAUCAACGAGGAAUUCCUAGUAAGCGCAAGUCAGCAGCUUGCGUUGAUUACGUCCCUGCCCUUUGUACACACCGCCCGUCGCUACUACCGAUUGAAUGGUUUAGUGAGAUCUUCGGAUUGGCGCCACUGCGGCUCAGCAAUGGGCUCGGUGGAUGCCGAAAAGUUGAUCAAACUUGAUCAUUUAGAGGAAGUAAGAGUCGUAACA